CUUUCUAUAAUGUAGUUGUUAUCACGUGCAGCUCACACGUUCAAGGCCUCAUGUUCGAUCCCGGAUGGAAACA